rnacentral:tRNA from 2 species
UCCGGCAUAGCUCAGUUGGUAGUAGCGCAUGACUGUUAAUCAUGAUGUCGUAGGUUCGAGUCCCACUGCCGGAG